UACAGUUCACCAUCGGGCUGCAGGUCAAAGCGUGGCGGGAAUGCGGAACCAUCUAACUGGGGUUUGAACGCAGGUCGGUGUGGCUGAAAAGAGAUAUAAACAGUGAAUUCAGUUGAAUCGCACGGAACGUGUUAUCACGACGGAGUGAUAACGAGGGGUCAACGGCAGAGUAUCCGGAAGACGAGGUCGGAGCUCGGCUCUUGCGAAGUUGGAAGAUCGGCGGUAUUACGAAAUUACUAUAGCCAGCAAUUGCGCAUAAGACUGUAUUCAGUUGAUCGAGCAACUUAUGCCGAUGAAUAUAAGACACAAUAAUAAACAAGAUGAUAAAUAGAAAUAUCACGUAAGUAAUCAAUCGAGCUCUUUCACUAUCAUCGUCUCCGGAUUCCCGUCGCCGCGCCCGGUCGAGUCGUACGACGGGAACGUCGUAUCAUUUCCACGAAAUUGGAGAACAGCGAUACAGAUUAGGUGGAGAAGGGGUGAAAGGGAAAUGACACGCUCUGUGUGUCGUUCCUGCUUGUGAUCAGACUGAUACAUUUAACUCCUGCACUAGAUUACACGGCGGAUAGGAUCGACACGAGGGUCGUGAGACCUCUAUGUCUGCAUGAUAGAUACGCCGAUGACGCGUGCAUAUGUUUUUCUUUUUUUUUCGAAAGAUGCGGGGACUUACUUCGGAUAUGUAACACGUGACAUUAUUUACAACAAUUGCCUCUCUGAUCGGUAACCACAAGGUAGGUGGACCGAGUCUCUCGACCAAAUUUAAGGGGGAAGUCUACUGUAAAAUUUUCAAAAAAUCAAUUUUUUGUUUAUUGGCUUAAAAAAUACUUUGAACCCUCUAAAAUAAGGUACAUUAAGUGUUAUAGCCGGCUAAAUUUUUCUUCAUUGAAAUUUCGACUUCUUACCGAAGCGCUCCGAAACGCGUACCUGCGGCAAAUUCCUAUCUGUUCGGCGGGUACAGCGUAGUGACUUGCAAUUCAAUUUCUAACAUUUUUAAUACUCCAAGUCGAUCAACAGAUGUCACUAGGUAUAUUUUAUAGUCAGUUAGAAGCGAUUUCAACAGAUGAUCUGAUCAUUAGCUCCGAAACAAACAUUCAGCGGUGCAAAAACCGUCGAUAUUGCGUCGUAUUGUGCUGCGAGUAUUUUCAAUGAAGGCUACUCCAGUAUCCUCAAAAUGAUGGACGUUGUGAACAUCAAAAUUGGACCAAACGCCUUCAAUUUAUGCAACACCGUGGACGAGCGCAGAAUAUCACGAGCAAACGAACGGUCGUUCGACGCUUCAAAAGAAGGGAGAAUCGAAAGAAGAACGGCGCGAUCGGCACUCGAAGAGGAUUUCCUUGAAGAAGAAGGUGUACUAUAUGAAGCAGGAAUGGGCGAUUAAUGAUCACCCAGACGUGAGAUUUCAUGUACACCGUUUGGGCACCUAAAAAAAACGGACCUGCACUUGAAGGAGUGCCACGACGGCAAUUUUGAAUAUUUCGACUUGAAAAUUUUUUUACAAAUACUUGAAUAUAUAAUAAAGAUGACGGUUUAAUUUAA